rnacentral:rRNA from 1 species
UACGAAGGGGGCUAGCGUUGCUCGGAAUCACUGGGCGUAAAGGGUGCGUAGGCGGGUCUUUAAGUCAGGGGUGAAAUCCUGGAGCUCAACUCCAGAACUGCCUUUGAUACUGGUAGUCUUGAGUCCGGAAGAGGUGAGUGGAAUUCCGAGUGUAGAGGUGAAAUUCGUAGAUAUUCGGAGGAACACCAGUGGCGAAGGCGGUUACCUGGAGCUUUGCUGACGCUGAUGCGCGAAAGCGUGGGGAGCGAUCCGG